rnacentral:rRNA from 1 species
GCGGCGGACGGGUGAGUAACACGUGGGCAACCUGCCUAUAAGACUGGGAUAACUUCGGGAAACCGGAGCUAAUACCGGAUAACAUAUGAGACCACAUGGUCUCAUAUUGAAAGAUGGCUUUUAGCUAUCACUUAUAGAUGGGCCCGCGGCGCAUUAGCUAGUUGGUGAGGUAAUGGCUCACCAAGGCAACGAUGCGUAGCCGACCUGAGAGGGUGAUCGGCCACACUGGGACUGAGACACGGCCCAGACUCCUACGGGAGGCAGCAGUAGGGAAUCUUCCGCAAUGGACGAAAGUCUGACGGAGCAACGCCGCGUGAGCGAAGAAGGUCUUCGGAUCGUAAAGCUCUGUUGUUAGGGAAGAACAAGUACCGUUCGAAUAGGGCGGUACCUUGACGGUACCUAACCAGAAAGCCACGGCUAACUACGUGCCAGCAGCCGCGGUAAUACGUAGGUGGCAAGCGUUAUCCGGAAUUAUUGGGCGUAAAGCGCGCGCAGGCGGUCCUUUAAGUCUGAUGUGAAAGCCCACGGCUCAACCGUGGAGGGUCAUUGGAAACUGGGGGACUUGAGUGCAGAAGAGGAGAGCGGAAUUCCACGUGUAGCGGUGAAAUGCGUAGAGAUGUGGAGGAACACCAGUGGCGAAGGCGGCUCUCUGGUCUGUAACUGAC